AAUUUUGAGGAGUAUCAGGUUUGUGCCAUAACAACUGGGGUGUUUGGUGACAUUUGCCGUGCAAUGGAUGACAAGGUUUUACCAUACUGUGAUGGGAUCAUAAGCCACCUUAUCCGCGAUCUCCAAAGCGCUGAACUCCACCGAUCUGUCAAGCCUCCCAUAUUCUCUUGUUUUGGGGACAUUGCUCUUGCGAUAGGGGAGCAAUUCUUGAAGUACAUUGAAUCUGCAAUAACAAUGAUGCAGAGUGCUGCUCAGAUCUGUGCCCAGAUGAAUACCAG
rnacentral:misc_RNA from 1 species